CAAUAGCGUAUAUUAAAGUUGUUGCAGUUAAAAAGCUCGUAGUUGGAUUUCUGGCCGAGUGUCCCUAGGCCAGCUUGACGUUUGGUCCUAGGCGCUCUGCCAUCCUUCUGUUAACCUUCGCCUCGUUCACUCGUGGCGCUGGGGCUCAGAUAUUUUACCUUGAGAAAAUUAGAGUGUUUCAGGCAGGCUUUCGCCGGAAUACAUUAGCAUGGAAUAAUGGAAAAGGACUUCAACCUCUUCUGUUGGUCUGAGAGGCUGUAGUAAUGAUUAAUAGGGAUAGUUGGGGGCAUUCAUAUUUCAUUGUCAGAGGUGAAAUUCUUGGAUUUAUGAAAGAUGAACUUCUGCGAAAGCAUUUGCCAAGGAUGUUUUCAUUAAUCAAGAACGAAAGUUAGGGGAUCAAAGACGAUCAGAUACCAU
rnacentral:rRNA from 1 species